rnacentral:rRNA from 1 species
AACGAACGCUGGCGGCAGGCCUAACACAUGCAAGUCGAGCGAGAUCUUCGGAUCUAGCGGCGGACGGGUGAGUAACGCGUGGGAACGUGCCCUUUGCUUCGGAAUAGCCCCUGGAAACGGGGAGUAAUACCGGAUGUGCCCUAUUGGGGAAAGAUUUAUCGGCAAAGGAUCGGCCCGCGUUGGAUUAGGUAGUUGGUGGGGUAAUGGCCUACCAAGCCGACGAUCCAUAGCUGGUUUGAGAGGAUGAUCAGCCACACUGGGACUGAGACACGGCCCAGACUCCUACGGGAGGCAGCAGUGGGGAAUCUUAGACAAUGGGCGCAAGCCUGAUCUAGCCAUGCUGCGUGAGCGAUGAAGGCCUUAGGGUUGUAAAGCUCUUUCAGGGGGGAAGAUAAUGACUGUACCCUCAGAAGAAGCCCCGGCUAACUCCGUG